rnacentral:rRNA from 1 species
UACGAAGGGUGCAAGCGUUAAUCGGAAUUACUGGGCGUAAAGGGUGCGUAGGCGGUUCGUUAAGUCUGUCGUGAAAUCCCCGGGCUCAACCUGGGAAUGGCGAUGGAUACUGGCGAGCUAGAGUGUGUCAGAGGAUGGUGGAAUUCCCGGUGUAGCGGUGAAAUGCGUAGAGAUCGGGAGGAACAUCAGUGGCGAAGGCGGCCAUCUGGGACAACACUGACGCUGAAGCACGAAAGCCGGGGGAGCAAACAGG